AAUAUUGGGACAUAUAAAAAAAGACAACUCUGUUCUGCAGAGUAGCUGUUGACAUUAUAGUUGCGCAGGAACUUUGUUGACUCUAGAGAACCUCGGGCAAAUCGCACAUCCCCGUGGCGGCGACUUUGCAUGCGGAUAUCAUCCAUAUCAACUUUCAAUGCCAGUUUCUGCGACUACCAUGGUGACCAUGGGUAAUGGGGAAUCAGGGUUCCAUUCCGUACAGGGACCCUGAGAAACGGCUACCACAUGCAAGGAAGGCAGCAGGCGCGCAAAUGACCCACUCCCGACGCGGGAAGGUAGUGA